rnacentral:rRNA from 1 species
GUUUUUUAAUUGAAGGCUAGAAUGAAUGGUUGGACAAGAAAUAAUCUGUCUUAAUUAAAGAUAUUGAAUUUAACUUUUAAGUGAAAAGGCUUAAAUAAUCUGAAGGGACGAUAAGACCCUAUAAAACUUUAUAUUUAAAGGUAUAAAUUAUUUUUAUUUAUGUGUUGGUAUCUAAAAGUAUUUGGUUGGGGCGACAAGGGCAGAAUAUUAAGUAACUGUCUUUUUUUUUGACAAUAAUAUUUGGUUUAAUGAUCCUAAAAAGGAUUAAAGAUUAAGUUACUUUAGGGAUAACAGCGUAAUUUUCUUUGAGAGUUCUUAUCGACAGGAAAGUUUGCGACCUCGAUGUUGAAUUAAAGGUUCUUUAUAGAGUAGAGACUAUAAUAGAAGGUCUGUUCGACCUUUAAAAUUUUACAUGAUUUGAGUUCAGACCGGUGUGAGCCAGGUU